UACAGAGGUGGCAAGCGUUGUUCGGAAUUACUGGGCGUAAAGGGCGCGUAGGCGGCCUUCUAAGUCAGACGUGAAAUCCCCCGGCUUAACCUGGGAACUGCGUCUGAUACUGGAGGGCUUGAGUGCGGGAGAGGGAUGUGGAAUUCCAGGUGUAGCGGUGAAAUGCGUAGAUAUCGGGAGGAAUACCAGUGGCGAAGGCGGCUGCCUGGCCUGUUCUUGACGCUGAGGCGCGAAAGCUGGGGGAGCAAACGGG
rnacentral:rRNA from 1 species